UACGGGGGGAGCAAGCGUUGUUCGGAUUUACUGGGCGUAAAGGGCGCGUAGGCGGCCUCCGCAAGUCGACUGUGAAAUCUCCGGGCUUAACCCGGAAAGGUCAGCCGAAACUGCGGGGCUAGAGUGCAGAAGGGGCAACUGGAAUUCUCGGUGUAGCGGUGAAAUGCGUAGAUAUCGAGAGGAACACCUGAGGCGAAGGCGGGUUGCUGGGCUGACACUGACGCUGAAGCGCGAAAGCUAGGGGAGCGAACGGG
rnacentral:rRNA from 1 species